rnacentral:rRNA from 1 species
CGGAGGAUCCGAGCGUUAUCCGGAUUUAUUGGGUUUAAAGGGUGCGUAGGCGGCCUAUUAAGUCAGGGGUGAAAGACGGUAGCUUAACUAUCGCAGUGCCUUUGAUACUGAUAGGCUUGAAUGUACUUGAGGUAGGCGGAAUGUGACAAGUAGCGGUGAAAUGCAUAGAUAUGUCACAGAACACCAAUUGCGAAGGCAGCUUACUAAAGUAUGAUUGACGCUGAGGCACGAAAGCGUGGGGAUCAAACAGGAUUAGAUACCCUGGUAGUCCACGCCCUAAACGAUGAACACUCGAUGUUGGCGAUAUACGGUCAGCGUCUAAGCGAGAGCGUUAAGUGUUCCACCUGGGGAGUACGCCCGCAAGGGUG